rfam:Triticum aestivum genome assembly, contig: Triticum_aestivum_CS42_TGACv1_scaffold_577408_7BL
CUUGUACUCCCUCCAUCCCAAAAUUCUUGUCUUAGAUUUGUCUAGAUACGGAUGUACCUAAUACUAAAACGUAACUUAAUAUCUUGUACUCUGUAUUUAGACAAAUCUAAGAUAAGAAUUUUGAGACGGAGGGAGUACUUA